rnacentral:lncRNA from 1 species
UCCCUACUAAGGAGUAUGUCUCCCUGAACUGACAAGAAGCUGAGGUGCCCUUCAGCUCAGUUUCAAGGGGGGAUUAUUCUGACUCUGCUGCCUAUGUGUGGAUCCUUUUGUCCUGCUUGGCCUGCUUUGUGUGGCCUCAGUGAGAGAGGAUGUGCCUAGUCCUGCAGUUACUUGAGGUGCCAGGUAUUCCAAUGACACGGACAGUGCCUGACCAGCGCCUAGCCACCCCACACUGGACCUCACAUUGGUAUGUGCUUUCCCAAUAUGCUUUGAAGCUGCUGUUCUUAUUUCUA